rnacentral:rRNA from 1 species
UACGUAGGGGGGCAAGCGUUGUCCGGAUUUAUUGGGCGUAAAGAGCGUGUAGGCGGCCAGGUAGGUCCGUUGUGAAAACUCGAGGCUUAACCUCGAGACGUCGAUGGAAACCAUCUGGCUAGAGUCCGGAAGAGGAGAGUGGAAUUCCUGGUGUAGCGGUGAAAUGCGCAGAUAUCAGGAAGAACACCCGUGGCGAAGGCGGCUCUCUGGGGACGUGACUGACGCUGAGACGCGAAAAGCGUGGGGGAGCAAACAGG